rnacentral:rRNA from 1 species
UACGAAGGGGGCUAGCGUUGCUCGGAAUCACUGGGCGUAAAGGGCGCGUAGGCGGAUCUUUAAGUCGGGGGUGAAAGCCCAGGGCUCAACCCUGGAAUUGCCUUCGAUACUGAAGAUCUCGAGACCGGAAGAGGUGAGUGGAACUGCGAGUGUAGAGGUGAAAUUCGUAGAUAUUCGCAAGAACACCAGUGGCGAAGGCGGCUCACUGGUCCGGUUCUGACGCUGAGGCGCGAAAGCGUGGGAGCAAACAGG